AGUGCAAUUGCUGGAUCAUACGGUAAGGGUACGUUCUGUUUUGUAGGGAACUGUCAAACUGCCUUCCAAAGUGGCUGUACCAUUUUGCAUUCCCACCAGCAAU
rnacentral:pre_miRNA from 1 species